UGGGGAGUACGGUCGCAAGAUUUCAAANUCAANGGAAUAGACGGGGACCNGCACAAGCGGUGGAGCAUGGGGUUUAAUUCGANGAUACGCGAAAGAACCUUACCUGGNCUUGACAUAGAAAAGAAUAACGCAGAGAUGUGAUAGNGCUUGCUUGCAAGAACUUUCAUACAGGUGCUGCACGGCUGUCGUCAGCUCGUGUCGUGAGAUGUUGGGUUAAGUCCCGCAACGAGCGCAACCCUCGUCGUUAGUUGCUAACAGUUCGGUCUGAGAACUCUAACGAGACUGCCUGGGUAACCAGGAGGAAGGUGAGGACGACGUCAAGUCAUCAUGGCCCUUACGUCCAGGGCUACACACGUGCUACAAUGGGGCAUACAAAGAGCCGCGAUACCGUGAGGUGGAGCAAAUCUCAAAAAUGCCUCCCAGUUCGGAUAGUAGUCUGCAACUCGACUACUUGAAGUUGGAAUCGCUAGUAAUCGUAGAUCAGCAAUGNUACGGUGAAUACGUUCCCGGGUNUUGUACUCACCGCCCGUCACACCAUGGGAGUUGAACUCAUUCGAAGCGGGGAUGCUAAAGUAGCUACCCUCCACAGUGGAUUCAGCGANCUGNNANGAAGUCGUAACAAGGUAACCAAGGGNGAAUUNCAGCACACCUGGCG
rnacentral:rRNA from 1 species